CCAAACAGCGAUCUCUAUGCCUUCAUCCCGCCCGUCUUCCCCAGUCCUCCUUGAUCCUCCUCCUUGUAGCCAGAACGUGACCAAGGUAUAUGUUGAUCUAUGGGCGGCAUAGAGAUCCCCUUUUGCCCUAUCUUUGUCCUCUUCACGUUGAUCUGCAAGUUUAUGUGGUAUAAAAAUCUCCCUUUUGCCCUAUCGCUCUACUGAUUGUUCUCCUCCCGCUGAUCUGCAAGUGGUGUGGAUGAUCUCCCUUUUGAACUCACUUCUACCAUCCUUCUCCUGGCAACAAAAAAGAAGCUGAUCAAUCUCAAGGUAUGUGACAUGUGGUCUGAUUCUAUUAAUGUUCUCAAGGCAACAAGAGAAUUCCUAGACUGAUUUUGCUAUAUGAUCACAGAUUACAAAAAAGGACAAGGUUUAGUGGAGAAUAUGAUUAACGGCAAUGAAGAUUCAAACAGGUAACAUCAAUUUUAAUAAAUUCAGCAGCUAAAUUGCAGAGGAGUCGCACCCUCCAAACAACUAGUAGAAAAUUAGAAGUAAUAAGGAAGGAAGGAGAUCCAAAAUUUAUUCCUGCACCUUUUGGAUGAUGUUAGAGUGAAAAAAUAUAUUUGAACAGAAGUGAUCUCUAUUGUUCUAAAUAGCUCAAGAUAAAAUACAUGAAUGUAGUCAGACCUUUACAUGCAAGUUGUACCAUAGGAAAAUACAUGAAUGUAGUCAGACCUGUAGAUGCGAGUUGUACCAUAGGUGCUUUGCUAACAGAAGUGAUCUCUAUUGUUUUGAAUAAUCUCAAGAUAAAAUACAUUAAUGUAGUUAGAUCUGUAGAUGCAAGUUGUACCAUAGGUGCUUUGCUCGUGAAGUACUUGGGAUUUCCAAUAAUUGACAGGAGAUUAAUGUAGAUGAUCUCCCUUUUGCCUCUUCCUUCUCCUAGCACAAAAAAGAUGAUCAAUCUUGAGGUAUGUAACAUAUGCUCUAAUUGUAUUCAUGUUCUCAAGGCAGCAAGAGAAUUCCUAUAGACCGAGUUUGCUAUGCUAUCACAGAUUACAAAAAAGGAAACUAAAAGGUGUAAUCCAGAAUAUGACCAACUCCAAGAAAGAUUCAAACAUGUACACUCUAUUUUUUUUUAAAUUCUCAUGCCAUAUCAUCAAAUUCUUGUAGUGUAACUAGACAAAUAAAUUAAGAUAUGCCUAUUUUUUACAGGGCAAAUAUGGUUCCUAGUUGGAUGCCUCAAAUUGGUAUGAAAUUUAAUUCCACAAAAGAGGCUUGGGGCUUUUGGACUUGUUAUGGAGGUCAUAUUGGUUUUGACGUAAGGGUAAAUUAUGAAAAUAAGAGCAAACUUGAUGGGGCAAUCACUUCCGCGAGAUACGUUUGUUCCAAUGAGGGCUACCGAAGAAUAGACAAAAGAGAUCAUAAUACCAAGCGUCCUCGUGCAGAAACAAGGACUGGUUGUAAAGUUCGAAUGGGAAUCACCAUCGACCGAGAAACAGGAAAUUAUGAAGUACAUGAGUUAGUCACUCAACACAACCAUGUCUUGCAAUUGCCUGGAACAUGCCACUUGAUGCCAUCACAGUGGAAGAUAUCGACCUUGCAAGCUUUUGACAUUGAAAUUGCAGAUGAUUCAGGAAUUGUACCAAAAGCAGCCCAUGAGUUGGCAAGUCGGCAAGUUGGUGGGUCAUCAAACCUUACCUACACACCUCGUGAUCACAAGAACUAGUUGCGAACCAAGGGUCAAAGGGAGUUGAUAUAUGGUGAAGCUGGAAGUAUGCUCAAGUACUUUCGAGAUAAAAAAUGAGAAUCCUGCAUUUGAAUAUGACGUACAACACGACUGCAAUGAACAAAUAGCAAAUAUCUUCUGGGCUGAUGCGAAGAGGAUCACUGACUAUGCUCACUUCGGUGAUGUUGUUACGUUUGAUACUACAUUUGGGACAAAUAAAGAGUACAUACCCUUUGGUGUAUUUGUUGGCUUGAACCAUUUUAGAGAAAUGGUCAUUUUUGGUGCUACACUUCUAUACGACGAGACAUUUGAAUCCUUCACAUGGUUGUUCAACACUUUCCUAUCCAUACAUAACAAAAAGCAGCUUAGAACUAUCUUUACUGACCAGGACGUAGCAAAGGGUAAUGCAAUUCGGGCGGUAUUUACGGAAGCAUGGCAUGGAUUGUGCACUUUUCACAUAAUGCAAAAUGCCAUCAAACAUUUACCUCAUAAGAAAAAAUACGAGGAUGGCCCAAAUGUACUUGCUGAUUUCAGUGCUUGCAUGUACAAGUAUGAGGAAGAGGAAGACUUUGAAGAAGCUUUCACUGCCAUAAGAAUCAAUGUGGAUACACAGACUUGGUUGAACAGUAUCUAUAAAGUAAAAGAGAAAUGGGCAAGAUGUUACAUGAGGAAUGCUUACACUAUAGGCAUGAGAAGCACACAAUUAAGUGAGAGCUUGAAUAGUGACUUGAAAGACCAUUUGAAGUCUGAUCUUGACAUUCUUUGUUUUUUCAAGCACGUAGAGAGGGUUGUGAAAGGAAAGAGAGAUAAAGAGGUAAAUGAAGAAUAUGAGUCUAGGAAAAAAUUACCUAGAGUUAGAAUAAGAACUCCUACAGUAAUACAAGCAAGCAAAGUUUACACACCUCACAUAUUUGAAGAUUUUCAGAAUGAAUAUGAAAGAUCCAUCUCAGCGUACAUCAAGCCAUCGGAGGAACACAGUGUAUAUACUGUUGCAAUUGCCAAUCUUGACCCGGAAUGCUCUUAUGAGGAAGAAUGCAAAGUUCUGGUUGAUGAAGAGCAAAAAGUUCUAUGUAGUUGUGGUCAAUUUGAAAGAGUUGGUAUAUUGUGUAGUCAUGCUUUGAAAGCCCUUGAUGUCAUGAAUAUUAAGUAUCUUCCAAGCCACUAUAUUUUGAAGCGAUGGACUCGAGAAGCACGAAGCGGCACUAUUCAAAACAGCCAUGGCAACAUUGUUUUGGAAGACCCUAGAUCGGAAGAUAGGCAGCAGCUUAAGUUUUUCAUGCAUGAGUUCCUUGGCAUAGCUUCCCAAGUAGUUGCAUCACAAGAGUGCAUAAAAUUAGUAGAUGAUGCUUUGAAGAAUCUAAAGAAGCUAGUUGAAGACAAAGCUCCUACUACUACAUGCAGAACUGAAGCUAUAUCUCAGGAACCAGACAUUUGUUUGCAAACAGCUUGUCUGAAGAAAAAGGAAAUUCAGCAGAAGACUUCAAAAAGGAAGAAAUCAUGGCUUGAUAAUCAACAUCCCAGUAAAAAGAAGAAAGGGGCAGCUAAAGUCAUUCCCCAAAAACAAUCUUCUUCUGUAAAUCUCUUAUCACUUAUCAAAACAGCCUAUAGAUUUAGUAAUAACUCAAGUAAUGUUUAUUCUGAUUUAUUUUUUGCAUAGACAGGAGCGAAGUACAUUCCAGUUGCACAAUGCGAAGCACCUAUAGAGAAAAUGACUGGAACAAAUGCAGACGGUUUGCAGGAAUAUGGGUACUAUGCUCGUUUACUAACGGUAUUCCACUUAUCUUGUCCAAAAUUCCUAAAAUCCAUUUGUAAGCAAUAUGAUUUUUUGUGUGUAUAAAAUCUGGUAUGUCUCUCUUUAAUAUACAGAGUGAAGCCAAUGAUAUUUGGGACUUGGAAACGAAUUCAUAUUUUUCUCGGAUAUGACAAUAGUUUGAUAGAGAAAUAAGAGGAGAGUCAUGCAUUUCUGUGGUUCGGCUCCUCUGCAUCAACCUCAACUACAGCCGUGACUACAGCCGUGAACUGCAGCUAGUAAUUCCUUCUAUUUGUGAUGUGUUUAGUACUUAAGGCAAAUACAGAGAGAGCAACCUCUGCAUCCCGUUAUGAUACGUGAACAGGAAGAGCAACUUUUGCUUCUGUUUAUCUGUUUUAAAGUGAGGAAAAAUAAAAGUAGAGUAGCACUUAGUUUUGCUGAUGUGUGAAGGGGCAAGGACUUGAGCAUUUACAUCACAGUAUCCUGGUUUCCAAACAAGAUGAACCAAAAACUGACUUACAGUAUUCUAGAAAUUUGCUAGUCAGAACCAUGCCAAAAUCUCUAUGGAGAGUGAGACCACGACACAACGGCGCAAUCAAAUCAAAUGCAAUUGCAGUAAGAUAACAAUCGGUAUUUAGACCACAACAUAGCAACGUUGAGAAAUACAGGCUACAUACAUAUAAUUCUAAAGAUUUGGACGGACAAUAUCAAUGGACAGGGGACCAAACAUACUGUCAUGCUACAUACUACAAGGUAGGAGCUAGCCACGUACUGACCUGUGCUUCUCCCGAGCUCAAGAAGCGCCCGCACGGCGAUAUCUCCUUCCUGGACAGUGGCGGCGCGGGGCCGGGCGGCCGGCAGAUCCCCAUCGGCGAGCGGCUGGAGGAAGCGGGCAGCUUCAAUCGAGGUGAGGGACGUAGGGCGGCGCAGCCUGAGGAGGGUGGAGUCCUCCAACGUACCUGCCUUCCACGGCGUCGGCCGGUGAGCCCAGGGAACGGCGCCUUGCGGCGGAUCCUGGGAAAGCCGAGGACACAGCCGCGGCGCAGCAGGCGGGCAUGGAGGUCCAUCCGCCGGACCGUUGCUAGGGGAGGGAGUGUGCUUGGCUGGAGAUAGGAACCCUCGCCGGCGGCGAGGUCGUCUGCUCGCCCUUGCCUCAAUCUCUUUGCUCUCCAGUCUUUACUGUGUGGUGUGCAGUGUGAACGGAAGCAUUUAUCCGAAUACAUAAAGGCUUUAUUAUUAACAGAAAUAAGAGGGGAAAUUAGAGCGGUCAGAUGGAAAUUGACGGCCGAUGUAAACGUCUACAGCACGCCUGCUGUAGUAGUUCGACUGCAGAGGAGCCGAACCCUCUCGUCGACUCGGCUCCUCUGCAGUCAAACUACUACAGCACACGUGCUGUAGACGUCCACAUCGCCCGUCAAUUCCAUCUGACCGCUCUAAUUUCCCCACUUAUUUCUUUUAAAAAAAUGAAAACAAACACCCAAUUUGUCUGCUGAAAAAUCUCCUACGGCUGCUUGGCGCCAAACAGAAUGCACGUUGGCUCCAAAUAGCGAUCUCCAUGCCUUCGUCGCCAAACAGAACGCUGUCCCCAAACAGCGAUCUCUAUGCCUUCAUCUCGCCCGUCUUCCCCAGUCCUCCUUGAUCCUCCUCCUUGUAGCCAGAACGUGACCAAGGUAUAUGUUGAUCUAUGGGCGGCAUAGAGAUCCCCUUUUGCCCUAUCUUUGUCCUCUUCACGUUGAUCUGCAAGUUUAUGUGGUAUAAAAAUCUCCCUUUUGCCCUAUCGCUCUACUGAUUGUUC
rnacentral:lncRNA from 1 species